CUUGCCUUUCUAAUUUAAAUGGUAUUUAGUAAACUUGGUGCGACUUUUAUAACCUACUUUUCUUCGCUUCACUCAAUCAUUGGUUUGUAGAGUUGGCUGCAUGGUGGCUUGCAAGGAAUAUAUUUAUGCUUGAGUAAUCACUCGCUUGGGAUACUGACUAAAAGUUUUGGAGCCUUAACAGUUUAUGUUUUGAUUAUACUGUGGUGUUAGCAUGAUGUAAAAAGAUUUUAAAUGUUCUGUAUCUAUGCAGAAUUUGUUCAGUUAAUCUGAAAUGCAAUUUUUAUUUUCUGUUGUGUUUUCUUUGCACUUAAAGAGAUUAUUGACAUUUUAUUUUAUGUUUUGGGCAAUUAAAAGCUGCAUUACUCAGGCUUUAAAUUCCCAAAUAGUUUGAGGGUAUCAUACUGGCAAUAAAUGACAGGAACAUCUAUUGAGAUUGUGAAAACAUCAGAUGAAAGAAAGAGUGGUAUAAAAUUCAUUUUUAUUAGUGUAAUAAGUAACAAAAUAAUGUGAGAUUGUUUCUACGCCUGCAAUUUAACAAAGAUAUCAUUUUCCAUGCGAAUUUGGAUAGGACAAUCAUGGUAUGAAUUGGUUUUUAUUGUUUCUUUUCUUUCAGUUUUGUCAACAUCUUCAUUCAUUUUUUCUGUACUAUAUGCAGCAAAAGAUACUCUAUCAAGUGCAGGAAAGAAAACGGUGGAGUACACGGCGCCAUUAGCAGAGAAAACUAAUGACAUGGCCGCGUCUGCAGGUAAGACCACUCUGCAUUAUGCUGGUCAUGUUGCGGUGGAUUUGAAGGACAAGGCGACUGGCAGGUUGGACUGCAGCGCACUAUGCAACUGAGGCAGCAGUGGAGGGAACCAAAGCAGCUGCAAGAAUAGUUGCCGGAGCAGCAGGGUACGCUGGUCAUAAGGCUGUGGAUAUUGUGUCCAAGACUUUUGAGUGCUGCUAAAGAUGCUGCUGUGGUGACUGGUGAGAAAGCUGAGGAGUUCACUGCUCGGAAGAAGGAAGAGGCGAAGAGAGAAUAUGAGGCCAAGAAAGCAACUGAAGCAAAUAGGCCCAAGGGUUUUGAGACUGCUUAUCAAGGAGGAGAAUCCAGAAGCUGGGAGCAAGAGGAGACAUGGAUGAAACCAGUUCAGACGGAAUCUCAGCAUAUGCCGAGUGGCAGACCAACUGAAAAAAAAACUAGCCAGAAACUGCUCAAUUACAGAGGGAGCGCGAAUGGGCUGUACCUGGGUGCUGGGGACAAUCGGCAGGACUUUAGGUGUGAUACCGAGAGCUGUUAGUGAGACAUUGGUUGAGAUAACUGAGAAUACGAAAAGCUUUGUUAUUGGGUAGGGUGUAAGUGGAAUGGUUGAGGAGAGCGAGGAAGGGUGGAGCUCAAAUGCACAGCAAGGAGGGCAGGAAUGAAGCUCAAAUGCACUGCAGGGGAGGCAGGGGUGGAGGUCAUCUGAGAAGCAAGGCAGGCAAGAGGGGAGGUCAUUUGAGCAGCAAGGCAAGCAGAGCGAGACUGUAAGUGUAAUACCGGGAGCUGUUGGCGAAACUUUGAUUGAGAUAGCUCAGACUACGAAAGACAACCUCAUUGGGUAGGGGCAAAGAGAGGAAAGUGCUGAGAAGGAUCGCAGGUUGUCUGAGAAGCUGCAAGGCUUAGGUGCAAUACCGCGCGCUGUUAGGGCGACUAUGGUCGGAAUAGCUCAGACAACAAAAGACAAUGUUGAUAAUAUUACUGGGCUUAGGCAGAGACAGGGACAGACGAGAACUGAUCAACAGUAGGGAUGGAAGCAAGACCAAAUCAAAUAGUAUGGAAAAUGAAGCAAGCAAGAUGCAGGGAUGAAGUAGAUCUGAAAUAAAUUUAGAAACUGUCAGCUUUAUGUUUCGGAUGUUUGGUGUGCAUAAAAGGCUGAUGUAGUAGUAUAUUAAAAAAAAAAAACAGGUCUACGUUUUCUUUUUCACAAUGAUGGGGAAGCUAACACUGAACCACCAACAUCAUCAAUGGAGAUCAUCAGCAAGGAGAAAACUGACUGAAGUUCCAAACCACUUUUUGUAAAAACAAAACCGGAGGAAACAGCUUUUUGGACAUCCUCCAUGACUAGCUAUCAAUAGGCCAACACUUCUUGAGGAUGUAGGCUUGCUAAUGGGCAUCAUCACCUAUUUUUUUGCAAACUAUUGCAGCAGCAAUUGUAAUUAAGUUAGCCUUAAACUAUGACAAAUUAUUUUUUGAACACUCUCUACCACAACAUCUGUGGUGGUGGUGAUGUUACUAGAACAUGAUCUACUUCAUUUUUGGUUGUAAAAUAGACUAAAUCUUUUGUUAAUAUGAUGAUCAUGUCAACUA